rnacentral:rRNA from 1 species
AUACGGAGGAUCCGAGCGUUAUCCGGAUUUAUUGGGUUUAAAGGGAGCGUAGGCGGACGCUUAAGUCAGUUGUGAAAGUUUGCGGCUCAACCGUAAAAUUGCAGUUGAUACUGGGUGUCUUGAGUACAGUAGAGGCAGGCGGAAUUCGUGGGGUAGCGGUGAAAUGCUUGGAUAUCACGAAGAACUCCGAUUGCGAAGGCAGCCUGCUGGACUGUAACUGACGCUGAUGCUCGAAAGUGUGGGUAUCAAACAGGAUUAGAUACCCUGGUAGUCCACACAGUAAACGAUGAAUACUCGCUGUUUGCGAUAUACAGUAAGCGGCCAAGCGAAAGCGUUAAGUAUUCCACCUGGGGAGUACGUUCGCAAGAAUGAAACUUAAAGGAAUUGACGGGG